ACUUGGAAUGCUUGUUGGACCUGCAACUGCUGGAAGAGGAGAAUCAUAUUUGUUGAACAAAAGAGAAGGCCAAUUCAUUGCCUGGCAUAUCGCCUAUUUUACUACCGAUCAUCUAAUUUACUGCUGGGAUCGGACGAUGGUGGAUGCUUGCCUUACAGAAGGUGCUCACUACCAGGACCUUGUUCAGGUGCAUAACUCAUAAGUGUUGCAGAUUUGAAAGACAAUCGGCACGCAAGACAAGGCAAAGACUGUUAUCUCAUGCGUGUUUGAUGCCAAUGCUGGAAUUACUUGAAAUGAUAAAUUUGUCUAUGCUCGCGUUAAAUGCUCACAAAGUGUUGGCUCUGAAUUGUGCUUGGUUAAAUAAAACAAUUUUUUGGUUGCAAGUAUCAUAAUGAAUAUACCUUUGUGCUUGUAUUUCC